UACGGGGGGGGCAAGCGUUGUUCGGAAUUACUGGGCGUAAAGGGCUCGUAGGCGGCCAACUAAGUCAUACGUGAAAUCCCUCGGCUUAACCGGGGAACUGCGUCUGAUACUGGAUGGCUUGAGAUUGGGAGAGGGAUGCGGAAUUCCAGGUGUAGCGGUGAAAUGCGUAGAUAUCUGGAGGAACACCGGUGGCGAAGGCGGCAUCCUGGACCAACACUGACGCUGAGGUGCGAAAGCGUGGGGAGCAAACAGG
rnacentral:rRNA from 1 species